rnacentral:misc_RNA from 1 species
GGAUUGGGAAUCAGUUGCAAGGAAGGAAAAGAUAGAAGGUGUCGAACUUGAGUUGGUGAAACUUGAAGGGAUAGUGCAAGCCAUUCAUGAGAAUUUAGAGUACCUGAAGGAUAGGGAAGCAGUAAUGAGGGAAGAAAACGAGAAAACCAAUGCUAGAGUGGCAUGGUUAAGUAUAAUGUCUCUUGGUAUAUGCAUAGCAGCUGCAGUUCUUCAAGUAUUCUAUCUGAAGAACUUCUUUCGCAAGAAAAAACUCAUUUAGAUUUGACAGAUUUUGCGCGUUCUUGAAUCACACAUUCUACAGUAGCUUACAGAACAGAUCAAUUUACAACAUUUUGUUUUCCACUUGUAUUCAUAUUUUUGUUUCUGCAAUUCACUGUUGUGAUCUACAGGGAACGAAAAGUCCAGAUACCAUAUCUUCUGUAAUAGAGAAACUAGUAGUUCCUUAUGUUCAGGGGACAAGUGCAAUCCAAAUGUAACAUCG